GGCUACGUAGCUCAGCUGGUUAGAGCACAGCACUCAUAAUGCUGGGGUCGGCGGUUCGAGUCCGCCCGUAGCUACCA
rnacentral:tRNA from 2 species